UGGUCGGUACGAAGGAGGGGGCAGGACGCCGUACAAUCUUGCAGCAACAAAAUUAUUUUGGGAAUUUGGAUGACAGACUUUCCGAGAAGAAGUUGCCUUUGAGUAAGACGUGAUGUAUGCAUCGAUUCAAAGUCUUCCGGAGAAUCCAGCUUUUCGAAACGCAACGAUGAACACUUAGUUCAUCUUUGGGCGAUGGAGUCGGGAAGGACAAGUGACCGACUGCUUUUAAAGAAGACCGAAGUUUGCUUUAGAGCGUCUAAGGCAUCUUGACAAUCAUACUCAUUUCAAAUAACCUUUUCAAGGAACGGAAACUGCUAUAACAUCCCUAUAAACAAAGCUGUUCCUCUGUCCCAACUCAACAACGGUGUUGAAGUACUUGGCCUCUAUCGACUGUGUAAAGGGAAGAGCUGGCCAAGCCAGUAGAAUCAUGGAAUACCUGCUCCUCACAUUAGUUUUGAUCUCAGUUAUUGUUCUAAGUUUGUUGUAUAAAGAUGCCCUUCCAAAUUUGCUUCACCAGACUGUUUGGCAGUCUGGGCUACUGUAAACAUCCUUGACUGGAAGCUGGUGUUGGGUCUUGGGGCUUUCAGUCGGAUGUUUGCAGCAGCCGCCUGCUAGUACCAUCAGUCGACACCAGAAACUUAUACUUAUAUGUAAUAAACUUGAUUCUUGGGAUAACUGGGCAUGUGAAAUGUGCACCUACUGCAGUUGUCCUUCAUGUGACCAAAACACGGGGAAGGGUCAAGUAAAGUAUAAUUUCACAUGCAAUUUUUUUUUCCAGAUUAUUCACUUUGGAGGUGCAUGUCAGUUUUUCUGUAGGUCAAAGCAGGAACAAUUUUCUGGUUUAUGCGGCCCAAAGCUUGCACAGUGGCACCUCAAUAAAAUGGACCCCAAUACAAUGGAUAUUGAAUAAAAUAGACCAGAGAACAGAACAAUGUGUCCAAAAAUGUUUUCUAAUUGUCAUUUAAAAUCCUGUUGACAAACUCUGUUCAUUCCAGAACUGGCCGCUGUUGUUUACUGGUGUUGUGGUGCAGUCCAUCAGCUCUGUCGGACAACACUCCACCUUUAUUAGUUUGUUCUAUUGAGGUUCCAGUCUACUACUAAUCUCUCUUCCAACCAUAAAGUAAUUUUUAGCAUGUCGGACAAUUGCACAAAUUCAUUUUUCUUGUCAUGUCAGAAGUUUCACAUGUUGCAAAGCAGGAGAGGAAAAAAAAUAAUUUUUCUUUUGUAUUCCCUGAAUUCCCUUGGAGGAAUAUGUUGCCCAACAUGGCAAAGAAAGGACGGUGACAAUGUAAUACAUUCAUUACAGAAAUUACUCGAAAAGCAGGAAUUUGACCAGCUUCUUGACAAGUACUAUGAGUUGUAUUUUGACACAAUUUAAAAUGGAAACUUUCCUUUCUUGUGAAUAUACACCCACAAUACGUGGGAGAUCGGGAUUGAGCCCUCCUGCAAAUGUGUGAAAAUCACAGAUUAAUUGUCAGACACACUGUCAGGUUCACCAAUCAGACAUUCAUUAAACAGGACAAAAAAGGAAGCAAAGGCACCAGUUCAAGUCUCGCGAGGAGAGAGGAGAAGAACUGUCUCGUACAAUUCACCACUGCACUCUCUGAUUAUCCUCUCCUCUGCACCUCUAUUUAUUUAGUUUUAAGACACCCCUUAUUUACAUGGAUGUUACAAAAAGGAGACGACAAGCAAAACAGUUGGAAACAAAGUGUACAUGUUUGUUCAUGUGCGUGUGCAUGUGUGGAAGAUUGCUGAAUGCAUGUGUGGUCAUCAUUUCUUUAACAGGCAGCAGUUCUAACAGUUGUGAUGAUUAGAUGUUUUUGUUCUUGCUAUCUCCUGCUAGGAGGCUGCCACGUUAUCUAAAGCAGAGCAAAGCAUUUCUUUAUUGGAAGCAGAUGUAUGAUAAUUAUGAUGACAAUUAUUCCUACACACACCUAAAAAGGUUUAAAAUUUCCUGUAGAUGGCACAAGAUGGUGAAAAAAGACAACUUUUGUCUUAAUGAAACACUCAACUCUCUUCAACAUAUUUCCUUGGCAUCAGGAAUCUCGAGGAUGGCAACAAAGCAACACUGUUACUGGCUUGAUGUGAGUUUUUAGGUCAUCUUGUGGAUCCCGUGUGGGAUUGCUGCUUUAUUUUAGAGCCAAACUCAAAACUCAAACUCAUAAAGCAAGCAAAAGUGAUCCCAAAACAAAAAUGGCAAACAAGCAGUUGCGCAGAAACGUGAUCGCAUGCCGCGACAAUUGUCUGUUCAGAAUAUAUGAAAGCAGCCUCGACAUCUUGCGCUGCAAGAACACAGCUGAAACAAAUAAACAAGCGGUGAAAGUUUGGAUUCUGAUUCGUCACACUGUGUGAUACAGCACAGGACCACAGACAUGGAAGGAAGGAUGGAAGGAAGUAGGAUUUCUUUAAACAGUUCUCAUCUUCCUUCAUAGAAGCAAGGAAACAGCUCAUUCCGACGACUGCGCAACUCAAAUCUCAACUAUUUACAUGUUGCAUGAAAACGGGACUGAAUCAGAUAGAACUUCCUGGGUGUUUGUUCCUGUUGUUUUAGAUGCAAAUUACAAGUUGACUUCUUACUUAGAAGCAAUGGCCUCUGAGUUGUAGAAAGUGUAAACAUCCUACACUCUCGGCGUCCCCCCUCCCCCGGCAGCUGGGAGUGAGCCUGUUUGCGCUUUCUGCCUCAGUAAUUCAGCUAAAUGUUGGGACAGUGACCGCUCAUGUCAAACACAUGUUGUAUGUUACGUACAUGUGACGUCAUACUUAGUUUAUUCACUGAACCAGAUAAUGGAUGGAUAACUAAGGAUAGCUUGACAAAUGUGCUUUGUUUUAAAUAAAUCUGAGUAUUAAUACAAUAAAGAAUAUGCGACUAAUAUCACACAAGAUUGUUUAUUACUCCCCCCUCUAUUAAUUAAAUCAGUUUUACAUGCAUUAAGUCUCACUUUAAUUUUCGCUUUAUAAACAGUUAUCUCAUGUGUCUGUUUUUUUAUUCAAAAUAAAAUGAUCUGCAAUAUUUUUGGAGCAUGGAUUGUUUUUGUCUUUCAUUUAACAAAAUGGUAUUGUGCUAAUUGUCGUUUUGUUUUCCACUGUUUCGUCUGGUUACAUAUUGUAGUAUACUGUACUGGUCUUGAAUCUUGACAUGUUAAUUUUCAGUAAAUGUGAUGAUUUUAGCAUGUCUGCGUCAAAGUUGAGAGUUUCUGGUUUCUAGUUUUAGGUCUAGUCUUCCUGUGCAGAAUUUGCAUGUUCUCUCCGUGUUUGUGUGGAUUUUGUGAAUCACUACCCUAAGUCAUUUUCAUGAGUAUAUAAAAUAAACUACAAAAGCCGA